GAGCGGGUGCCAGUCUGUAGCAAUACAGAUGAAGCGCUAGCGGCAGACGGGUGAGUAACACGUAGUCAACCUACCUUUCCGUCCGGGAUAACUAACCGAAAGGUUAGCUAAUACCUGAUACGAUCGUCGAGCGGCAUCGCUUGACGAUGAAAGCAGUAAUGCGCGGAUCGAGGGGGCUGCGGCCCAUUAGCUAGUUGGUGAGGUAACGGCCCACCAAGGCUCCGAUGGGUAGCUGGUCUGAGAGGACGACCAGCCACACUGGGACUGAGACACGGCCCAGACUCCUACGGGAGGCAGCAGUGAGGAAUUUUCCGCAAUGGGCGAAAGCCUGACGGAGCGACGCCGCGUGCACGAGGAAGGUCUUCGGAUCGUAAAGUGCUGUCGAGAGGGACGAUUAUGACGGUACCUCUGGAGGAAGCCCCGGCUAACUUCGUG
rnacentral:rRNA from 1 species